rnacentral:rRNA from 1 species
UCGGGAAUUUUGGGCAAUGGGCGAAAGCCUGACCCAGCAACGCCGCGUGAGGGAUGAAGUAUUUCGGUAUGUAAACCUCGAAAGAAUGGGAAGAAUAAAUGACGGUACCAUUUAUAAGCUCCGGCUAACUACGUGCCAGCAGCCGCGGUAAUACGUAGGGAGCAAGCAUUGUUCGGAUUUACUGGGCGUAAAGGGCGCGUAGGCGGCGCGGUAAGUCACUUGUGAAAUCUCUGAGCUUAACUCAGAACGGCCAAGUGAUACUGCUGUGCUAGAGUGCGGAAGAGGCAACCGGAAUUCUUGGUGUAGCGGUGAAAUGCGUAGAUAUCAAGAGGAACACCUGAGGCGAAGGCGGGUUGCUGGGCCGACACUGACGCUGAUGCGCGAAAGCCAGGGGAGCAAAC